GCCCAACUGGCUCAGCCUGUAGAGCAUGUGACUCUUGAUCUCGGGGUGUGAGUUUGAGCCUCACGUUGGGUG
rnacentral:tRNA from 1 species